GACAAAUUGUCUAGCAUAAGUGGACACUUUCUUCUGGGCCAGCAGUCAGUCCAGAACUAAAUUCUGAUGUAGUGCACAACUUUCUCUUUGCUUGUUCUCUCCCAUAACACUCUAAAGCUCUUUAUGCUCAAGGAAUGCUCUCCACAGACAGGAUUUUAUCUCUAUCUCUCAUCAAAACACAUUGAUCCUUACUUUAAGAUCCACUAAGCAGGUGGGAGAUGUGGACUUGGGACCUGACUGCAAAUCAAAUAAGUAGGGAUUUCAAGGUGGAUAGUGGAUAAUCACAGUGACAGCUCUGGCUUGUAGGCAGCCAGAGCACAAGGCACACAUGGUGACAGUAUGAUUAGAACAUAACUAAAUUAUUAAACAAGACAGUAGUUGAAGUAAAGUAGUCUUUUGGGACCACUACUUCUCACCAUCCACUAACAGUAAAACCAAGUACCCUGACAACUGUUUUAUGACAAGAAGAUAGCACCAGACUAAAACAAGGUAUACCUUGUUUUGUAAUGUUUACAAAACCAAAAUACAACUAAUUGUGCACCACUUAAUUGUGUGGGAAAGGUACUGGUAUAGCUGCCAUUAGGCUGUGGGAAAUUCCUCAUCUGUCAUUUUUUAGAACUGAUACAUUUUUUUAAAUGUGACAGUAUGGUCUAAGACAUGAAACAUUCAGGAAGAUUCUACAUGGUACUGUAUCACAAUAGGUUUCCCUCACCCUACACUCUUUUGAGUCUGGAAUUGAUCCUUCUGGUGAUGGAUGUAACCAGAGAUCUGCAAGAUUUGUAUACAUAGAAGGUACUUCAUCUCCUGCUGAGAGUUUGCUGGAAGGAGCAGAGGUUCCUUCUAGGUUUGCUUUUAAAAUCAACUAUCUAUAUGCUAUUCUUUUGAUUUCAUUUGUAUUUACUUGUUGGCAAAUGGGCUCUCAAUAACUUUGUUCCAUUACAGCUCGUCUGGUUGUUUCCAUUACCAAAGUCUAUGUUCCAGAGAGAAACCAAGCUCACUGGCAACCACGCAGUCUUCACAUGAAAAUUCAGAAGUACAUUUUUAAACUAUCCCAACUGCUUUCUUGCUUUCACUGACCAGCAAAUCCCUUAUUAUGAAAAAGAAGCAGACUUCUGAUGCUGAAGGACACCGUCGUCGUGUUUCUUCACUUCUUCUAGCUGAAUCAUUGGGAACUGUACUUGUUUUUCAAACCAUUUGGCUACUGUGAGCAGCUGCUUCUCUUGGAAUGAGCGCCCAAUGAACUGAAGCCCAAUUGGCAAGCCUCUUUCUGAAAGAGCUGUAGGAACAUUUACGGCUGGCAGUCCUGAAACAAAAGAAGUUAUGCGCACAAAGGCUUACUAUUAAACAAAUCCAGUUAGAGUCAUUUCUGUAACAAUUCUGAGAGAACCAGAGCAGCUCAGCAGCAUUUUAAAAUCUAGCCUUACAUCACAAAGCAUUUUACAAAUGCACUGUACUUAUGUGUAAAGUUGUUAACUUACUACUGUAAUUUAACGAGAGGGGUGAGGUAUCUCAAUUCUGUGUAAGAGCUCAAAAGGCUGAAGGGGAUGGAUGUUAUACGCAGGAGAAAACAUAGUUGAAUUCCUGUCUCUACUCACCGGCCAUGUUUGCAGCCUGUGUUAGGAUGUCAUCUUGCGUGCUGCGAGUUCUGUUGUCUUCUUUGAUGAAUUCCACAUAUGGGACUGCAUCGCUCAGAGUGAUAGGAGUGAGUAAAAUAUCAAUACCACUUCCAAAAACCUUCACAAAGUCAUUGGCAAUGAGACGUCUGACUUUCUGCGCUUUGACAAAGUAAUCCUCAUAAUUCCUAGAAAGAAAUAUGGGUGUGAGGGUGGAAUGCUAGAAUUCUGAGAAUACAGAACAAUUUCUUAGUUACUAUAAAAGAGAGAAGCUCUAUAUUCCUCCCGAUUAAGAGGCUAACAUGUAUUUGAGUUUCUCCUCUACCACAAGCUUAGUCACCAAACACAGUGUUUAUGUUCUCAGAGCCAUGAAGAUGUCAGAGAAAAAAGACAUAAGAAAAUUCUGUUGAAGUAAAGUGAAGGGAAAACAAAACCCUAGUUUAAGAUAGCUGAAGAUCAGAGUAAUGCUCUUAUGGCCUUUCUGAAACUAAACUGUAUAUUGGAUUUCACUGCAGAAAGGUAUAGUAAAGUCUAGAAAUAAUAUAGAAGGUUUGCAGAAUAGACAUUAAACUCUAGGAUUCAAUCCAGCAAGACACUUAAUGAAUGUGAAAAACUCCCCUGAUCUAUGCAGACAUCCAAAUGGACUUAAAACCAAGGAUGUGUUUCUAGUACGCAUCUUACUAAACUAUUAUCUUUCCUCAAUUUUUUUUCUCCUUAUAUUAAGUAUUGGGUUUACAGCUUUCUAAACUGUCUUUAUGCAAUUCUAAAGCAGAAACAAGUUCGUUAGCUUUAUGUUUACUGUUCUUUUUAAUUUCAUAUGUAGAAUUGGUAAACAUGUAACAGAAGUCAUAACUUCACAGUUUAGUUUCUAAAGCAAUCGCCAACAAUUACUCUUUAAAAGAAAAGGAAUAAAACACUGAUAAAUCAAACCUACUCGGUUAAUUCUGAUGCAGUGUCUAUAAGCAACCAUCAUUUCAUAAAUGAUCACAUGGUUAUUUUAUAAAAAGCAAGAGCAAAAUAUUCUGUAAAAGGCAAUGCUUACAGGAAACACAGAUGUUUGUACUUUGUUUGUCUCAAGAAUGCUUGCAGAACCCUGGAUUUUGUUCUUCAAGAGUAACUUACUGUUGACAGAAACAGGACUCUCUUGUUCAGUCCUGAUGGAACACAAUCCUAUGCUCCUUCACAAAAAAGUGAGCUGCAUGAAAUUUAAAGCAGUCUUUGGAAAGCUGACCUGGACAGUUGUGACCAGAAUGAGCAUACUUGGCAGGAAUAUCGGCAUUCCGUAAAAGCUGCUUCUUAUCUACUGACUGACAACAUUCCUGUCUCUGAGAGCAACUAGAAGUCUCUUCUGAUGAAUGCUGUUGCUGACAGAAGGAGCUUUAUCACGCACUUGUUUUGAGACAAAUUGCAGGACCAGUUUUUCUGUUAGUAUCUAAACAAAUUAAGUAGGACUCCUGCUUUCUCUCACAUACUAGGAUAGUAAAUAAGGAGUGAAAAUGGAGAUGAAAAAAGUUAAAUUGAUCCAUUCACCAGGUUCUCUACAUGAGUUGAAUUAAAAAAAAACAAACCUGUCUUCUAUAAAAACAUUAGUUCAGACAUCUUUGCCUUCUCCCCCUUGCAUACUAAGGCAGAGAGCUAUAGUUAAUUUAACUGCUGUAUCAUCUGCCUUGCUCUAGAAGACCUCAGCAGAAUGCACCAGCAGUUCUUCUAUGCAGCUUUAAUGAGAUUAACACCUACAGAACUACAAGAGGAUGGCUUUACUGUGAUUUCAGUGUCAUUCUACAGGAUAUAUACUUCCUUAUUUUAACUAUUAGGUGACAAUAAUCCUCUGUGGGGGGGGGG
rnacentral:lncRNA from 1 species